UACGUAGGUGGCUAGCGUUGUCCGGAUUUACUGGGCGUAAAGAGCGCGCAGGCGGUCGUUCAAGUCGAGUGUGAAAGCCCCCGGCUCAACUGGGGAGGGUCACUCGAUACUGAUCGACUCGAAGGCAGGAGAGGGAAGCGGAAUUCCCGGUGUAGAGGUGAAAUUCGUAGAUAUUCGGAAGAACACCAGUGGCGAAGGCGGCUCACUGGACGCGUAUUGACGCUGAGGUGCGAAAGCGUGGGGAGCAAACAGG
rnacentral:rRNA from 1 species